AUCAUGUAUUUAAAAUUAAUUUAUUCAAUUAAUUAAUUAAUUAAUUAAUUAAUUGAAUUAAUUAAUUAAUUAUUCAAAAUAGCUUAUUCAAAACUUAUUCAACUUAUUCAAAAGGUAAAUAUUGCAAUUAUCAAAGUGACCCCCGGGUAUAGGGCGGUAUAUAAAUUCAAGAAAUGAAAUGAAAUAAAAAUAAUAUUGCAACUAAUAAAAUGAAACAUCAACAUGGUUUGCAACUGUUCCAGCACAUCCUGAAAUAUGAGUGAAUUUGGGGUCCCUGCAAGGGGUUCAGCUUCUUAAGGAAGGCUGGGCCUUCGGAAAACGUGCUCUUUGAGGCUCAAACCGGUCAGGAAAUAAACACAGACCAGACCAGGGAUUUUCAGAAAGCAAAGCGGCUGGAAGCCUGGUCCUUUAUUAAAAUUAUAUGCAGAACUGUUGGCAACAGAGUUCCCACUCACGUAGCAGGCAGCCAAGAGAGAACCCCAAAUAAAAGAGAAUUUUGACCUAUAUACCUUUUAAUUUCCAUACAGAACAAUGGUAACAGAAGACGUCAAAGAAGGCGCGGUGAGAGGAUUAGAACAGGAAAACUUCGGAGCUGCUAGGUGCUGUCUGAUAAGGAGACAGGAUUUUGGGAGUCGCUUAUCAGUGCAGGUGUGUUGCCUUAUUCUGCAUUUUUCCUUUAUUUAAAUAAAACUAUCUGAGGUUGUAUUUGUGUGUGUGUGUGUCCAUUUGCAGACUCAUUAGAUGGUGCUGGGAAGCAGUUUGACAGUUGCGGGCGGUACAAAGUCAAUUUUACAGUUUAGAUACAUAGUGAUACAAAGUUUAGAUACAUAGACAAAACUAUAAAACGAAUAAGAAAAUAGGAAGGAAAUUGAUACAAAGAUUGAACUCCAGUUACCAAGAUUUGCAAGGUACAAUUCAGUUAGAAGGGCAACGUUUUAAAGGAAAGGAAAUAGGCAUACCACACAGGGUUCAUAAAUUUAUUUCGGAAUCCCCUCUCUGGUCAUGGAUUCUCUUAUAACACUUACAAACACACAACACCCCGAACAAGCUUUGAAACAAAUUAUUAUAAUUUGUAUUGUGUAUUAUCAUUAUGUAUUAUGAUUUGUCAUUUUCCUUGCCCAGCUACUCAAAGCAUUCUGCUAAUCCGUAGGACAGAGCUUUCCAAACUGUGUUGCAACACAUUAUUGUGUUGGCUGCAGUGUGUCGUGUGAACGCUCCCCACAUUCCUCCCGGGGCUGGAAAGUGGUUCGUUUAACCUUUGGUUUGCUAGUAAAACUGAAUCACUGUGUCGCGCAAUAAUGCAAGUCUGAAAAGUGUGCCACCAUCAUGAAAAGUUUGUGAAGCUCUGCUGUAGGAUGUUGCCAUGUGUACUGAUUUAUUUAUUUUAAUGAAAUUUGUAAGCGAGAAAGAGCCUGAAGUUUGCUCAGGGGAACGAAAAAAAUAGAGAGCGGCAGAAUUUGGGGAGCAGAAUUUUAAUACGGAACAACCGAAAAAUAAAUCCAGAUAUAAAUACUUGAAAACCAACGAUGCACGGAUCCUCCAGGCACUGAUCAACGAUGCAAGCUGGUUGAAAUUCGCCUUUGGCAGCCCAUUGACAGAAGCUGCGUGGAUAUUCAUGGACUGAAGCUGGUGUGCUUGUCUGUCCUUCUGUCUGCAUGUCUCUCAUCCUGCCUUUCCGUGUGAUUCGGGGUGUGAAAGGGUUUGUGUGUUUCAAAUGUGGCCGGGUGCAUUCAGGUGGGAUGGGGUGGAACUUCACAUCUUAUACAAUCUUUUUGGACUUCCAUCAGCACCUCUGAUGAUCCACCAUUUUUAUCACUUCUUCUGCAUUUCUUAAAUUCCUAUUGCCUUUAAUUAUCUUAACUCACAAUCCACCUCUUUAACCAUUUUUGCAAUAAUUCAAAUAAUUUACCUCACAAAACUUCUUGCAAACCUACAAACGUAAUCUGGUCAUCACAAUUACUUUUCAAAUAGUCCGUAAAUUUACCUGGUCCCGCAGGUUUCGAAUUCUUCCAGUUAGUUUAUCCUAAAAAGAUGUAGAGUUUCGCUAGAGGCCCAGCUCCACCAGGGACCUCCUGCCUCAAACUGUGCCAGCCAUUCAUUAUAGGAACAACUGUUUAGAAACAGGCGUCUGAGUUUUGAUUUUGACUUUCCUCUUCCCUCCUUGGCCUGCUUCCCUUGUGUGUUGUGCGGCUUCUUUAAAAAAUUGCAAGCCUGUGGCUAGGGAGUGUCUUGUUUGGAUUGCAUCUAAACCACUCUGGAUUUAAACCAGAUGAUGCCAUGUGUUAACUUAAAAAAAAUAGUGUAAAAUCAAAAGUACAGGCUAAAAAAAUCAAAAAUCUAAGCUAACCUAGGAGCAUAAUUUGCCCAUUUGAACAAGUGGGACAAUCAAAUAGCAAUUGUCUGAUCUAAGGAAGUUAUUACACAGCUUCUGGUUGCAAGAAGAACUUCUUCGGCCAAUUUGAGCGCUGACUACUGCAGAGAAAAUAACUCACAAAUUUCGCAUUUCUAAGGGUAAGGAAAACCCAGAACACUUCUACACUCUUUGAUGGGAUUCCAUUUCUUACGUGUCAAAUUGAGACGCAUAAAAACCCUUCUUCCCCCACCAAAACAUUAAAUUUGGCCAUUGUUCCAGGAAAAAACUUUCUGGCAGUGAUUGACAAGGGAACAAACCCACUCAGAAGAUGGUGGAAUCUCGCUGGAAGUUUUUCAACAGAGGUUGGAUGGCCAGGGAUUCUUCAGCAUUGCUAGGGGUCAGGCUAGAUGACUUUGGGGGUCCC
ensembl:lncRNA